AAGUAUUUUCGGGGUUAGCUCCAAAAACUUGUUACCGCUUAAGUGUUACGACAUAAAAAAAAAAGAAGAAGAAGACCAAACUCUCGAAACUCACAGUCUUCUUCUCUAUCUCGCCUCUGUCAUGUUAUCUGGUACUUUCUUCAUGGCUCACACCGGACAAACCUAUAAUCGUCGUCGUCCAUGGCCACCGAAGUUGAAUCUCCCGGGUACGUUUUGCAUACCCCUCUUUCUUCUAUUAGUUAAGGUAAGGGUUUUGAUUUGGGGUUUUGGAUUAGGGUUUCAAUUUUUCCUCACUAUCCGUUUGUGUUAUAGGGUUUCGAUUCUGUAGACUAUCUGUUUAUGUAUCAAUGUGUCUCGAUUAGGGUUUCAGUUUGAUUUUGGGUUUCUCUCCUCCGUCUCUGUAUAUCUAAAAUUAUUUUGUUUGUUAUCUUUUUCUCUUAGACGUCUCUGCACCGUUUCUCUAAGCAAGAAGAAGCCUCCCAGUUAUCUCGGCAAAGAUGCUCACAAGUACACACCCUAAGUUAAAAGAAGGUUCGAGCUUCAGAAAAUAGUGGCUGCCUUCCUCCACCUUAAAGCUCGAUGAGCAUCUUCUCAGUCGCCUUGUAUCACCUUUUUCCUUUGAGUUUGUUUUACAGUAACCGGUACCAUAGUCCAAGGAUUAUACUUGUCUUUGCUGCCCUUGCGAUCGUGAACCUCUGUCAAUGCUCUCUAUAGAAGACUCUCUGGACUAAAUAAAAUAAAGGAGUCAGGUUCUAGGGAGCUAUGCUUCUUGAGUUAGAAGCAAAGAAAGAAGUCAGGUUUUUCUGAGUGACUCAGGACAAGCUGUUCCACAGCUAUAUCACUGGCAUAUAAGGCAUCCAGAGAGUCACAGACAAGUCCAAUACUUUUUCAUCAGGGUUCUCCAUACCAGUCAUGACACGCAUCCUUGACUUCACGGAAUCAGAAGGCUAAUUGUGGGUUUGUCUCUCUUCUCUUAUUGCAGACAAACUAACACAGAAGAUCACUGAAGCAGCAGUUGAGUUCAUUGUUGUUUCACAACACUUCUCCAACACUGAUCAUGAUGAGGAUGACAGCCAAAGCUCCAACUCACAAACAUCAGUCACACCUUCUAUGCGAGAUAGGCAUUUUACACGGUAGAUGUUCAAUAAUUUUGUUUCUGUUUCGUUUUUAUUUGCUUUUGUUCUUAAGUUUUUUUGUAAACAUUUGAUUAGUCCUAUAUGGUGUAAUGACACUAUGAUAUUGUUAUGCUAAUCUUAAAUAUUUGGUCA